CCCAUGUGUAGCGAAAUGCUUGGUGUUUCUAGCUCCAACAGUGCAGUAGUAUGAACCGCCUUUCAUCAGUUGAGGACAACAAUGCAGUACAGUUGUUACAUGUUGGAGUGACUGGCUUCAUCUGGUUUAAGGGUCAGGAGAGAAACAGCCGAGAAGGACUUUGCCUCCUGGACCGGCCAGACACACCUUUAAAAAGUCUUCAGGAGCAAAACCUAAAUGACGUCAUGAAAUGACACCAUUAGGCUGCUGUACUUCCCCCUACGGUCACUGCUAUCUGGGAUGUUUGGGAAGUUCAUACCCAAAACUUCGGGAUUUUGCUGCCAGAGUGCGUGGGGACAUUGCUUACAUCCGCUAUGACAGGCUCAUUGUCCAUCCUCCCUCCCUGGCAGAAGCCUGGAUGGGAUGAGAGCCAAGCCUAUGGUCCUCCCGGUUUUGACCCUUGCCUGUUUUCUGGACUCCGUACCCGCCUGCCUGACCAUUCUGCCUGCCCUGACCUCGAGCCUGUCUGCCACUCUGUACCUCCUGGACUCCUGGUUUUGACCUUUUGCCUGUCCACAACCAUUCUAUUGCCUACCCCCUUUUUGGAUUGUUUAAUAAAUAUCAAGACUCAAACCCA
rnacentral:lncRNA from 1 species